rnacentral:lncRNA from 1 species
UAAGCAGUCUGAAGUUAAGCAGCUAGUUAACAGCACAAAGGAACCCACACCUCUGGGACCCUCCUGUACCAAAACACAAGUUUCUUGGGGAUUGGGUGGAAACUUUGGCUUGACAGGUAGGAUGACUUGUUAGAGGUCGCAAAGCACGUGAGGAAUGCAGCAGGGCACAGCAUCUGGCCCUUUCGCUCAGCAGUUAUUAAUCCAGGGGCUGCAUGUCCAAACGUGCUCCAGGGCUGCAAAGAACCAGCUCAUCAAACCAUGAAGGCAAUUCAACCACUCGGGGACAAAGAAGAGGCUCUGGACUUUUUGUGACAUCCCCUGACAAUCCUGCUCAGACCUGUGAUAGGAGCUGCUGACGUCUGCUCUGUUUUACUGUUUCCUUUGCAAUUACUUUGGAAUGAAAAACAAAUUCAGAAUUUGAAUUUGAGGAUGUUUUUCCUGGUAAUGAAUUCCCUUGCUUUCUACUAAGCCUGAGAAGUUGGCUUGAGAUAAGUUGGCUGUGGGCUCCCCAUCACCUCCUCUCCACUGAGACAUAGUGCUCAUUCUUACUCUGUAUCAAAGUC